UAAAUGAUUUGCUUAUUGCACCACAUGUGUUUUUUAUUGAACAAAUUUCUUUGGUGGCGGGAGCAAUCCUACCGCCAGAGGUUAUAACUAAACCAAACUUUUUAUUUACAGUCAAACUUGAUUUAUUAUUACAAUAGUCAAAACUUUCAACAACGGAUCUCUUGGUUCUCGCAUCGAUGAAGAACGCAGCGAAAUGCGAUACGUAAUAUGAAUUGCAGAUAUUCGUGAAUCAUCGAAUCUUUGAACGCACAUUGCGCCCUUUGGUAUUCCAAAGGGCAUGCCUGUUUGAGCGUCAUUUCUCCCUCAAACCCCCGGGUUUGGUGUUGAGCAAUACGCUAGGUUUGUUUGAAAGAAUUUAACGUGGAAACUUAUUUUAAGCGACUUAGGUUUAUCCAAAAACGCUUAUUUUGCUAGUGGCCACCACAAUUUAUUUCAUAACUUUGACCUCAAAUCAGGUAGGACUACCCGCUGAACUUAAGCAUAUCAUAAACCGAAGGAA
rnacentral:rRNA from 1 species